UCCUCUAACAAUGUCUCUCAAAUUCUUCAAACCCCUUUUUGAUUCUUCCUCAUGGCCCCUUCAAGAACUCAAUGUUGAGCAAAAGGGGGUGUUUUUCUCCUAUUUUCUUGGGUUUUUAGCUUUACUAUGGUUCCUGUGGAUUUUCAUCAGUAAUAACUCAAACAAGAGACUGCCACCAGGGCCUAAAGCUUUGCCCUUGAUAGGUAAUCUUCAUUCUCUUGAUCCUGAACUUCACACCUAUUUUUGCAUCUCUUUCCCAAAACUUAUGGCCCGAUUUGUAGACUCUGGCUUGGUAAAAAAAUUGGGAUUAUUAUUACUUCUCCUGCUUUAGCUCAUGAGGUUCUUAAGGAUCAAGAUACCAUUUUUGCUAACAGAGAUGUGCCGGCUGCUGGUAGAGAAGCUACAUAUGGGGGAAAUGACAUAACUUGGACUCCUUAUGGACCGAAAUGGCGUAUGUUGAGGAAGGUUUGUGUUCGUGAUAUGCUUAGUGGUUCUACUUUAGAUUCUGUUUAUGCACUAAGGAAAAAGGAGCUUAGACAGACAAUCAAUUACUUUUAUAAUCAGGCGGGAUCGCCUGUGAACGUUGGUGAACAGAUGUUCUUGACUGUGCUUAAUGUGAUUACAAGCAUGUUAUGGGGUGGCACAGUGAAGGGUGAGGAAAGAGCUAAUCUUGGGGCAGAGUUUAGGCAUGUUGUGAAUGAAAUGACUGAGCUGUUAGGUACUCCAAAUGUUUCCGAUUUUUACCCAGCCUUGGACUGGUUCGAUUUGCAGGGUGUUAUAAAGAAGAUGAAAGUGUUGGCAAAGAGAUUUGAUAAGAUAUUUGAGAGCAUGAUUGAUCAAAGACAGAAAAUGGAUAGAAAUGCUGAGACGGGAGCUAAUGUUGGUCAAGAAAGCAAGGACUUUUUGCAAGUUUUGCUGAAGUUGAAAGAUGAAGCAGAUUCCAAAAUGCCUCUGACUAUGACUGAACUCAAAGCCUUACUCAUGGUAUGAUCUGUUACUUGAUGCGAUUUUGAUUGUUUCCAUUUGAUUACUGAAUUGUUGGUUGCUAACUAUUUAUUGGACUGCACUAAGGAAAGAGUCAUUUAGCAUCAAAUAAUAUAUAAAGCUUUAAUUAUAUCAAAAAAAUAUGUGAAGACUAAAUUGAGAACCUUGAGCUGAACACCUAUAUACAGUUCUACAAAUAAAAAAUUGUUGUACAUGAUAAUAACUUUAAGAAUACCAUGAACAGGAUAUGGUUGUUGGUGGAACUGACACUACUGCCAACGUAGUUGAGUUUGCCUUGGCUGAAAUUAUGAACAAACCAGAUGUCUUGAGGAAAUUACAACAAGAAGUAGAUACAGUCGUGGGAAAAGAUAACAUAGUGGAAGAGUCUCAUAUUCAACAGUUACCAUAUUUCUAUGCAGUUAUGAAAGAAGCCUUGCGUUUACAUCCAGCUCUUCCACUCUUGGUCCCUCAUUGUCCUAGUGAAACAUGCACUGUUGGAGGAUACACUGUUCCUGAAGGAUCUCGUGUUUUCAUAAAUGUAUGGGCUAUACAGCGAGAUCCUUCUAUCUGGAAAAAUCCAACUGAGUUCCAUCCAGAGAGAUUUUUGGACAAUAAAUGGGAUUAUAGUGGAAAUGAUUUCAACUAUUUCCCAUUUGGUUCUGGCAGAAGAAUAUGUGCGGGGAUUGGCAUGGCAGAGAGGAUGUUCAUGUAUUCACUGGCUUCACUCAUUCAUUCUUUCGACUGGAAAUUGCCCGAAGGAGAGACAUUAGACCUCACAGAGAAGUUUGGGAUUGUUCUGAAGAAGAAAAUGCCUCUGGUGGCUAUACCUAUUCCAAGAUUAUCCAAUCCAACACUCUAUGAGUAAAAUAAAAGAUGUUGCUCUAUCCUGUCAAUGGUCUUAUGAACAACUCAAUGUCCACUGUUCCAUGUGAUAUGGCUGAUUUUUUUUAUGACUACUUAUGAAUUUGAAAUAAUAAUACAUGUAUUACUCUCAUUGGGUAUGUUGUUGUUGUGAACCAAAUGGACAAUAACAUAUACCAGUACUGCAGUAAUUAUUAUAUGCUUAUCGAUAAAUCUGUAUAUUGUAAUUUGUGUGUAAUUUAUCCAUAAGCGUAUGGUUUUGAUGAGCACAUAUGGUUGUAAUUAUUCUCAUUGAGGUUUGCAAUCUCCUGUUUCCUACCUUUUGCUAGUGUGUUCUUAUACAACUAUUGAAAUGUGUUUGUAGUGAUUAUACUUCUAUCUUUUGUACUAUAUAUGGAGAUGUGCUCCCUGUAAUUUGGAUCCAUUUCUAAUUAAUUCAAUGCUUUCUAUACAUACAGUUGGUACACAUCAAGAUUAUGAAACCUGCAAUCAGUGUGGCUGAAUCACCUGUAUUUGACUAGAUUCAUUCCAGAAUCUUCUCAACCGAAGUUAAAAUACCUAAUCAAGCUAUUCUUAUGCUGACAGUUUAGUUUCCUCGUUCACAAUGGUCGUUUGUGUGUUCCAGAUGGCAUCCGGAGGCGAUCAUUUCUGAGGUAGACGGUAAGCCACUCACUUCUAGCAGUCGUUCCAGAAAGGCUUGGGCACACAUGUUAAACCAAAAUUUAACCUUUAUAUACAACACUCAUGGACACAUAUGUUUCUAAGUAUCUGCAAGUUUUUGGUGUUAACUACAAAUGAUGUGAUUAAAAUAUCCCCUAGAUGUAAAUGAAACUACAUUGAAGUGGUGAAAUGACAAUGGCAUGAAGAUAUAUGUGGAAGUAUAAGAUGGAUAACAUGGCAUGGGAGAGUUUAAAUGGAAUCCGGAAACGAGGCAUGCCUUCAGGACUUCCUCGCUAUUCCCCAAGAGAAAACAAAGGGAAGUGAGAUAAAUGAUUUACACCCACUAAAUUCCCCACUUUGUUUUAGAAAGAUGUUCAUAAAAUUAAUCAAACAAAAUAGUAGUCAAAGUGUAAUUUUCUAUCUUAUUAUAUGGUAUAAUAGGUUACAAGAAUUAUUAUUAUUAUUAUAGAGAAAUCGGAAUAAAGAAGAUAAGCAUAAUACUAAAAACACAAGUGAAAUUAGUAUUACAAAGGAAAACCUUGAGCAAGGUGUGUGAAAUUUUCCUAAAAGAAAGUAAACAAAAAGGAUCUUAAAGAGCAUAUUUCUGCUGGCAUGAAGACAAUAUAUACCUAAUUUAAUACGAUUUCUUUAUCUGUCUUGUGGACAGGAAGAAGCACCAAUUCUAGCUGGAAGGUAUCAACAUCUGAAGAUUCAUUUGCACUACCCAACAAAGGUCAUUGACUUCUUCAGUUAUUUGAAUCCCAAGGUACAAUUAUAUUUGUUUACGCCAAAUUAUAUUAAUUUAUUGCUGUAUAAGGAACUAAUGUAUCAUAUCAAUUUUGAACGAAUCAUAUAUCUGCCGAAUACUUUUUGUCUUGAUCCAAGAUUUCUCAUUCCUUUAUCAAAAUACCAUUUUGUUUUAAGUGGUGUUAAAACAUUGAGCUUCCCACCAUAUUGGUUCUGCCAAUUUCCAUUUCCCUCUUAGGCUCAAAUAAUGUCUCUCAAAUUCUUCAAACCUCUGUUUGAUUCUUUCUCAUGUUCCUGGCAAGAAUCAAAUAUUGGACAAAAAGGUGUAUUUUACUCCUAUGUUCUUGGUAUUGUAGCUUUACUAUGGUUUCUUUGGUUUUUCAUUAACAAGUCAAAAAAGGGACAGCCCCCAUUGCCACCAGGGCCUAAAGCUUUGCCUUUGAUAGGUAAUCUCCAUUCUCUUGAUCCUGAACUUCACACCUAUUUUGCAUCUCUUUCCCAAACUUAUGGCCCCAUUUGUAGACUCUGGCUUGGUAAAAAACUUGGGAUCAUUAUUACUUCGCCUGCCUUAGCUCGCGAGGUUCUUAAGGAUCAAGAUACCAUUUUUGCUAAUAGAGAUGUGCCUGCUGCUGGUAGAGAAGCUACAUAUGGUGGCACUGAUAUAGUUUGGACUCCUUAUGGACCGAAAUGGCGCAUGUUGAGGAAAGUAUGUGUUCGCGAAAUGCUUAGUGGUUCUACUUUAGAUUCUGUUUAUGCAUUGAGGCGACGGGAGCUUAGACAAACGAUCAAUUACUUCUAUAGUCAGGCGGGAUUGCCUGUGAAUAUAGGUGAACAGAUGUUCUUGACUGUGCUUAAUGUGAUUACAAGCAUGUUAUGGGGUGGCACAGUGAAGGGCGAGGAAAGAGCUAGUCUUGGGGCAGAGUUUAGGCAUGUUGUUACUAAGAUGACUGAACUGUUAGGUACUCCAAAUCUUUCUGAUUUUUAUCCGGGCUUGGCCAGGUUUGAUUUGCAGGGUGUUACAAAGAAGAUGAAAGUAUUGGCAAAGAGAUUUGAUAAGAUAUUUGAGAGCAUGAUUGAUAAAAGACAGGAGAUUGAUAGAAAUGGUGGGAUGGAAACUGGUGUUGGCCAAGAAAAUAAGGAUUUUUUGCAAGUUUUGCUGAAACUGAAAGAUGAUGAAGCUGCCAAAAUGCCUUUGACCAUGCCUGAACUCAAAGCCUUACUCAUGGUAUGUUUUCUCAAUUGUGCAUGCUACUACAGGAAAAAUCCAGUAUGUUAACACUUAACUAUGAACCUUGAACUGAACUCCAGUAUCCAGCUCUACAAGUAGUAUGAAUUUUGUUGUACAUGAUAAUAACUUUAAAAAUACUGUGAACAGGAUAUGGUUGUCGGUGGAACUGACACAACCUCCAACACGGUUGAGUUUGCCAUGGCUGAAAUUAUGAACAAGCCAGACGUCCUGAGAAAAUUGCAACAAGAAAUAGAUACAGUUGUGGGUAAAGAUAACAUAGUGGAAGAGUCUCAUAUUCAACACUUGCCAUAUUUCUAUGCAGUUAUGAAAGAAGUCUUGCGUCUACAUCCAGCGCUUCCACUCUUGGUUCCUCAUUGUCCUAGUGAGACAAGCACUGUUGGAGGAUACACUGUUCCUAAAGGAUCUCGUGUUUUCAUAAAUGUAUGGGCAAUACAGAGAGAUCCUUCUAUAUGGGAAAAUCCAACUGAGUUUCAUCCAGAAAGAUUUUUCGAAAAUAAAUGGGACUAUAGUGGAAAUGAUCUCAACUACUUCCCGUUUGGUUCUGGCAGAAGAAUCUGUGCGGGGAUAGCCAUGGCAGAGAGGAUGUUCAUGUAUUCACUGGCUUCACUCAUUCAUUCUUUCGACUGGAAAUUCCCCGAAGGAGAGACAUUAGACCUUACAGAGAAGUUUGGAAUUGUUCUGAAGAAGAAAAUGCCUCUGGUGGCUAUACCUACUCCAAGAUUAUCCAAUCCGACACUGUAUGAGUAAGAUAUGUCUGUAGAGAGACGUGUUCUGCAUGAUGAUUAUAUCUUUUUGUAUGAUGAACUAUGGAAAAGUGCUCCAUGAAAAUAGGAUCUAUUUGAAAUUGAUUGGAAGUUUUCUGUAUAGUUUGUACACAUCAUGAAUAAAUAUAAAAAGGGUGUUUGACAGAUUAGUUAAAUUAUAUACUUUUGUAUUAGCUUAAAAAAAUCCCUAAUUGAAAAGACAAAUUGGAACCAAGGGUGUGUUUGGUAUGAAGGAAAAUGAUUUAUAGUGUUUGAUUUAUGAAUGAAAAAUAUUUUUAAGAAAUAUAUUUUAUUUUUACUAGAGUAGAAAAUAAUUUUUGAAAUUGAAAAUAUUUUUUAAAAAUAAACUUAAAUUUUGUUGAAAAUAUUUUUUAUAAACAAUAAAAAAUUGAUAGCGAGGGGCGAGGGUAGUGGGUGGGGGUAAAAAAUAAAAAUUUGAAAUUAGAAAUAUCUUUUUAAAAUAAUUUUUAAUAUUUUUUUGGGACGGGGUAGGGGUAGGGGUGAGGGUGGGUAAAAAAAUUGAAUUUAAAAACAAGCUUUAAAAUUAUUAUUAUUUUUUGGGGGGAGGGGGGGUGGUUGGGGGGCUGAUUUGAGGGUAGGGACAAAAUAAAUUGAUUUUUUCAACAAAAAAGUAAUUGUAAUAUGAAAUUGAAAGAGAGUUUUGGAAAAUGUUUUCCUUAAGUUUUGAAGGGAAAUCAUUUUCCUUAAAUUUGAGGAAAAUGAAUUGAUUUGAAAAACAUUUAACCCAACCAAAAUGAGAAAAUUAGAAAAUCCUACCAAACACACCCCAAUAAUUGUUUCAUUGGUUUUGCUUUGAAGUUUGAAGCAGCAGGAUUGGGGAGGUAUGUUCAUAUUGUGGUUUUGCAGACUUUCAAGAGUCACUUUUUGUCUUAUCCAACAUAUUUAUAUUCUUCAGCAAAUUUUACUUCCUUUUUAUAUAUAUAUAUGGUGUUAAAGUAUUGAUUUUUUUCUCCCUAAUAUUAAAGCAAUAAUUUAUGAUUGAUCAAGGUUAAAAAAGAAAAUAGUAAUUAUUUUUGAUUUCUGAAAACCAAUUUUUGUUAUUACUCAAAACAGCUACUCUAUUUUUUCAGUGAACCUUAACCAGCAACCUCAAUUCUCUAAAUUAACUUGAAAAAAUAAUAACUUUUAACUGCUCAUAAUUUGGCCAAACAUACUCCAAUAUCCUAUGUGACUAUGAGAAACUUUAAUUUUUGUUUCUCCAAAGAAAAGAAAAGAAAGGAACAGUCCCCAUAUUGAAACAACAAAUUAGAAUCUUACAGGCAUGUUUGGAAAGCCAUCCCGAUAAUUAGAUUUGAUGUAAUUGAGUGUAAUUAUAUUAUCUGACGUGCUUGAUUUAAAUUUGAUGUAAUUGAGUGUAAUUACAUUGUCUGGCGUGUUUGAUUGUCCAUGUAGUUACUUGGUAAUUGAGUGUAAUUGAUAGGGAGAAUUAGACUCUUCAAUUUUCAGGGAGCGGCUGUGAAUUACAAGCUGAUUACUUUUUAAUUUCAUCUUUUUAUUUUAAUUUAUUUUUUAUUUUUAUUAUUCUAUUUUUAAAAAAAGAUUAUUUUAUAUUAUUUAUAUUUCAUUUCCUUCUCAUUCUCAACCUUUACUUCAUAUGAUUCCAUGUAUUUUUCGUAUUAUCUAUCUUUUUAUGGCAUGUUAUUUUUUCAUUAGCAUAAUUUGGUUAGUAUUUGAAUUUUUAAAUUAAAGUAGAAUUCAUUGUUAAGUAAAGUUAUAGACUUACGUUUUUCUUUCUUUUUAAAAUAUAUUUAUGUUUGUUAUGUUGAAAUUUGAUAUAAGAGUAUUGUGUUAAAUAUUUUGUUUGAAUUUACAACUUAUGUUAUAAUUUUAGUUUCAUUUGUUUUAGUAGUAUUGAUAGAUUAUCUUUUUGUCUAAUAUUUUAAUAAUUUAUGAUACUUUAUUUUUAUCAAACAUGCAUUUCACGAUGUUCAUAGAAAUCUUGUACUUUUAGUUUCUUUUUUAUGAUUAAUUCAAUUGAAAUAUACUAAUUUGAAAAAUAUAAAUCAAUUACUUUUUCAUAAUAUUAGUUAAGAACAUAUGUUUAUUAUUAAUAUAUUUUCAAAAGACAAUAUAUAUCUUAAAUAUUUAAUUUAAUAUCAUUUAUAAAGUUCCUUAUUUAUCUAAUAUAAAUUUAAAUAAUUAACUUUUAUUUUUAAAAUUGAAUUCAAACCAUUCAUGUAUAAUUAUACUAUGACAAACAAACAUGUCAGUGUAUUAGUUGGUUGUGUAAGCACUAGUGGAGUUUGUCUCAACAUUUUUUAUUUGGGGGUUCCACUGGAGUAUCUUAAAGUAUUGCAGAAACAUUGUGGAGAGCCAGCAACACAAGAGUUAUCUGUAUGAAAUGAGGUAACAGUAUGUGGCAUACUUAGUUUUACUAUGGUUUCUUUGGUUUUUCAUCAGUAACUCAAACAAGGGACUGCCACCAGGGCCUAAACCUUUGCCUUUGAUAGGUAAUCUCCUCUCUCUUGAUCCUCAACUUCACACCUAUUUUGCAUCUCUUUCCCAAACUUAUGGCCCCAUUUGUAGACUCUGGCUUGGUAAAAAACUUGGGAUUAUUAUUACUUCCCCUGCCUUAGCUCGCGAGAUUCUUAAGGAUCAAGAUACCAUUUUUGCUAACAGAGAUGUG
rnacentral:lncRNA from 1 species